GUUACGCAUCCACUGUACGGUUCUGAGACAGCACGCCUCCGGUGUGUGUGUUUCAUGGUGUUACGGUGGUUUUAGCGGAGAGGUGACGCCCGGUCCCAUUCCGAACCCGGAAGCUAAGCUUUCCAGCGCCGAUGGUACUGCACUCGGUAGGGUGUGGGAGAGUAGGACACCGCCGUAG
rnacentral:rRNA from 1 species